AGAAAAAGAAACCCUGUAUGAAGAAGAAAGAUGCUGUGGUGAAAAUGGAGGAAGGACUUUUAAACAAAGGUUAAUAUCCCUCCAGACUCAAAUGUUGAUAUGGGAGAAGUUACAUAAGAUCUGUAUCCUGAUCUCCCAAUUACUGUGAACCAACUCAACUGUGUUACAGGACCUUUAAAUGAUCUAAUUUAAAGAAAUGUACAAUAAAUACUUAAUGCUUGUAACAUUAAA